rnacentral:rRNA from 1 species
CAGUAGCCGUGGGAAUACAGAGGGUGCGAGCGUUAAUCGGAUUUACUGGGCGUAAAGCGUGCGUAGGCGGCUUCUUAAGUCGGAUGUGAAAUCCCUGAGCUUAACUUAGGAAUUGCAUUCGAUACUGGGAAGCUAGAGUAUGGGAGAGGAUGGUAGAAUUCCAGGUGUAGCGGUGAAAUGCGUAGAGAUCUGGAGGAAUACCGAUGGCGAAGGCAGCCAUCUGGCCUAAUACUGACGCUGAGGUACGAAAGCAUGGGGAGCAAACAGGAUUAGAUACCCGUGUAGUCCCUGUCUCUUAUAC